rnacentral:rRNA from 1 species
UACGUAGGGGGCAAGCGUUAUCCGGAUUUACUGGGUGUAAAGGGAGCGUAGACGGCUGGACAAGUCUGAAGUGAAAGCCCAGGGCUCAACCCUGGGACUGCUUUGGAAACUGCCCGGCUAGAGUGCUGGAGAGGUAAGUGGAAUUCCUAGUGUAGCGGUGAAAUGCGUAGAUAUUAGGAGGAACACCAGUGGCGAAGGCGGCUUACUGGACAGUAACUGACGUUGAGGCUCGAAAGCGUGGGGAGCAAACAGG